ensembl:lncRNA
GCUUGUUGGCAUAGAGACUUCAAAGCCAAAGGCAAACCAGCUUCCUCAAGUGUGCAUGUUUCCUCCUUUGGGUCUGUUAGCUGGGGUUCAUAGUGGCAUGGAAGCAGGUGUUGCUGAAGGGAUCUCUUCAAGGAAAGGCUCGUGUCUCUGCCAGCUGAGACCUUAGACACAGCUUAUCUGACUUGGGAAAAGUCACGCUCCCUCCCACAACCUCUGAUAUUUUGUGGGGAGAAGGUUCCUGCCCUGUUGGAGUUCCUGUCUGGACUUCUUUCAAUGCAGAAGUGUGUCAGAUCUCUUGGAACUGGAGUUGCAGACAGUUGUGUGUGGAGAGCUGCGAUGUGCCGAGCCAGAAGAUGGCGCCGGUUUCUACCUUCCACCAUCCCGAGGAUUAGGAUGGAGAAUUCUCAGCUCCUUCUCCAGCACCAUGUCUGCCUGUGUGCUGCUGGGCUCCCACCAUGAUGACUGACUGACCUCUGAAACUUAGAGAGAAGAAGGAGUAAAUGAAGCCAAUACCAAAGGCACAACCUCAAGAGAUAUGAGGAUUCAUGGCUGUCCUACUCCAGAAUGCUACAGGAAGAAAGGGUAUGAACACCAGGACGCCAGGGCACUGGGGACUAUCUUGGAGGCUGGCUGCCAGCUGAGGCCUCCAACCCCGGUGUGUGUAGUCUGCCAGUCCCUCCCUGUUUCUUCAGGGCUAUGCCAAAUAAACUCAAUUUCCAUAUACUUUGCACUGUUUUCUGAAUCUGCCCAAUGCUGCACUACCGAGUGAGCCAUCUGGAGCUUGGGUGGAGUUUGAUCCUCCAGUUCAGUUCUUACACUUUAGAACACUGUUUGGGAUCAUGUGCCUCUCAAGACUGAGCCCUGGAUUUCCUUACAGGUACAUGGGUAAUUUUUUCUUAACUACCCCCCUGUCCUCAAACUCUCCAGUCCUCUGCUCUUUCUGGUCCUUUGAUGGAAAGGAACCAGGAGCUUUGUUGUGCUGACUUGACCAUAAACUUCCUACAGCUGAGUGGCUUCCACACCUAAGUCACACACAAGGUUUCCCCUAUAUGAGUCAGCUCACAGUUCCUCUGGUCCAGGAAAAGGAUCUCCUAAGAGUUUUGGGUGUCUACAUAUCAGCACUUUGGUGACUGUCUGGCUACUCCUAGGUUGCGCUAGAGCCUGGCACGUGGCUGGCUGUGAAUCUUGACUAAGAAAGAAAGGAGGUAAAGUGAGGAAGAUAAAGAACAUUCCUUACUUUAGUACCUCUGUCUUAUACAGGGCCCCAUUUUCAUGCCUUGAGUCAGAGGUGGAGGACUUGUCUUGGGCUCUUGUGUCUGUUCUGAGUUCACAGCUCUUAGAUUUGGAAUGAUUUCAGUACAGUCUAGGGACAAGAAAGGAAAACGUACAGUCUCAUGAAAUAUAUCGGAUGGUUUAUGAUCGUCUUUCAUUGCUGGGACCUUCUGUCUUCAGCUGUGAUUUUGGUUAUAUUCAGUAUUGGGUUACCAGAUAAAAUACAAGUCACCCUGUAUCAUAUUUCUUAAAUAUGCUCAGAACACACACUAAAAAAUUCAUUGUUGAAGGGGAGAGGAAAAUCUACUAAAACAUACUGUGUUUGAAAAUUCCUUAAUGAUAUUCAAUACUUUGUAUGUCAAUUUAAAAAAUAAAAUUUAUUAAAAAACUGUUUAUCUGCAAAAGAAAUUUUGCUAGGCAUGCUGCCCAUUGGCUGUAUAAACCUGGCAACUCCAGUCAGUAGGAAAGGAUAGGCCAUGCUCAUUCCCUUUUCCAAAACAGAAACUUCACCUCAUCAUCUCAACAGCUGCCUCCUCCAUCCUUCUAUGGAAGAACAGAAUUCAUUUAGCCACUCCACUGUUGAUAAUGAAAGCAGCUUCCAGUUUUUUUUUUUUUUUUUUUUUUUUACCCCUCCUUUGAAUAAUGCCACGGUGACAUUCAUUUACAUUUAUCUUUGCACACUUUUAAUCUCAGUUGCUUUAUGCCAAAUGAGAAAGUGCAACUGCCUAUCUCAAAGGGCUGUUGUGAGAAUCAAAUGAUACACCGAGUGUGAAUAUGCUUAGGAAGCUGUUAAAUGACAGAAAGGAUCUCUCAGCACUUGCCUUUUGCUUGCAUUGGACUUGGAUGCACGCGGGCGGGCUUAGCUUCCUUCACUGCUAUGGUUUGAGGGGUAAAUGUCCCCAUGGACUCAGUGUUGAAUACUUGGCUCCUGGCCGAUGGUGCUAUUCUUGGAGGUAGGAGCUGAUUGGAGGAAAUCGAUCACCUGGGGGGAGGCGUGCCUUUGAAGGUCGUACCAGGACUCCACUCCUCUCCUAGUUAUGUUUCUUGUCUGCCAUGAAGUGAACAGAUUCAGGAUCACCCACUGACAACAUGAUCAGCCUGACAUGGACCCCAAUCAAUGGACCCAAGGUCUGCAGACCGAGACCUCCGAAACACUGAGCUAAAGUAAAUAGCUCCGAGUGAGCUUAGGUCAGAUGUUCUGCUCUAAAUGAUGUCAAACCUAGUAGAUUAAAAACCACACAAACCCUUGAGGGGUAGAGCUUCUGAUACUUGUCCUUGUAAUCUACCCUACCAAGUUCUGUCAUAGAGCUUUAAAAAUUUGACUCUAAAUAAUUAAAAGAUGAAUACAGAAUUAAAUGUGGUUUUUUUAAUAUUUAUUUUUUUAAACUAAUGAUGUAUAAAUUAUGACUUUCUUUAAAUAAUGGUGUUUGCAUGUAUGUGUGUGCUGGGGUGGGUACUUAUAGAGGUCAGAGACAUUG